UGCCUUUGUGUGGCCCGUUCACUUUUGGAAACCAGUGAAUGUGGCAUCAGGAAAGGCGCACACUAAACACUUUGCAGCCCCUUCCUGCCCUUGAAUAUGAUGUCCUUGGUGUAGGAGCUGGAUAAGUAACAGUG